ACCUGCCGUUCACGGAGGCCUUUGACAGAGCCAAGGCUGAGAACAAACUCGUUCAUUCCAUCUUGCUGUGGGGAGCCCUGGACGACCAGUCCUGCUGAGGUUCCGGGCGGACUCUCCGGGAGACUGUCCUGGAAAGCCCGCCCAUACUCACUCUCCUCAAUGAGAGCUUCAUCAGUACCUGGUCCCUGGUGAAGGAGCUGGAAGACCUGCAGGUCCAGCAGGAGAACCCGCUCCACAGGCAGCUGGCAGGCCUGCACUUGGAGAAGUACAGCUUUCCUGUGGAGAUGAUGAUCUGCCUGCCCAACGGCACAGUGGUCCACCACAUCAACGCCAACUACUUCCUGGACAUCACCUCCAUGAAGCCUGAAGACAUGGAUAAUAAUGUCUUCAGCUUCUCAUCCACCUUUGAGGACCCGUCCACAGCUACCUAUAUGCAGUUCCUGAGGGAGGGACUCCGGCGUGGCCUGCCCCUCCUCCAGCCCUAGUGUGCCUAGUCCCUAGAGAUCCUGGACCUGGUGACAACCUGGCAGACAGAAUCCAUGAACCUUGGAGCCACUGUACCCUGAGUCCAUGUCAGACUGGAAGUGGUCCCCACCUCAUCUCCAGGCUGCCUAAAGAGGUCCAAGGUCAACCGAGGCUGCCACCUUCAUGUAGCCUGACAGAGGGUGGUGAGAAGAGGGGACCCGCCUGCCUGGCGACUCAGCUUAAGCCUGCUACCACUAGAAGCUCAUCUGGUUCCAAGAACUUCUUCAAGUUCCCUCAAAAAGGGUCUGGAGAGACCUCCCUGCAACUUCCACACAGUGACAUAGUUCAGGACCUCAGCGUGGAUAAGGAGUGGGCUGGAAAAGUAGACGGUUCCUCUUUUCUAGGCUCCCCUUUCAAGCCAAAGGAAUCAAAAGAGUUUGGCCCAAGGGACCAGGCUGGCAGCCUUAUGCCUGCUUGGAGCCUUCUAUGCUGGCCAUCCCCUGGGUAGCCUUCUGUGCACAGUACCCCCAGCUGGGUUGUCAGCUGGAGACAGCUGUCUGGAGCCUGUGCACAGAGCCCCUCUACAGAAGUGGAGACCAUAGUGUCACACCGCUCUCCUUCAGCCCACUGACCUGAUGACCCCAGCCCAGGCCUGUUCGGGGAGUUGGAGAAGUUCACACUGUGAAGUAGGUUGCGAUAGGUUCCUGCCACCUGACCCCUAUUCCACAGAAGUGUAGCCCCAAAGAGGGCAGCCUUUCUUAUUGCCAGCACUGUCUAGGCCCCCAGGGUACUGCUGGUCAACUCCCUUACCAUGGGAUGGCCACUAGCUACUUUUGGGGACUUGGUGAACAUCUCUACCAUGGCCAGUCUUUUUUAUGCAUACAGAAAAGUGUUUUUAUAAGAACUUUCUCACAGUUUAUAUUUUUUAAAACUCUGCUGAGGAGAAAGAAGGGGGCAGUGGCUUCCCCUAGCAGCAGCCGCAUGAUGGCUGGGUCUGAAAUCCCAAAUGGACCCAGCUUGAUGUCCUCGCAGUUGCACACGGGGAGAAAAUAAGCCCAUCUUUCUUCUCUUCCAACUUUUUACAGUCAAGGCUCAGUAUUUCCCAGCUCUGUCCUGUGCCCCACACUCCCAAGAACCGCCUUGACCUCAGUCUCAUCAGAGCCUUCUUGACAUCAGCCAGGUCCCUGGGUGCCAUUUCUUUCCCCGGAGUCAGACUUCAACCGUGGAGAGGAGGAAGGAACGUAGACUUUCCCUAAGUCCUUCUCCCCUGCCUGCCCCUGGAAUCACCAGAGAGCCCCCUCACACUCUCUGGCUCCCAAGAGUCUUGUCUCUGGGGUGCCCUGUGAUGAUCACGUACAUUUUCUUAUAACAAACCAUGAAUUGGAAAAUCGCCCCCAUUUUCAGAGGAAGACAUUGGAGUCUUAGGGAAGCAAAGUGACUUCCCAGGGUCACUCAGAGGACCAGAGUUUUGAUCCUAACCCACAUGACUCUAAAGGCUAUGUCUCAGUUUUGGGGGGUGCCCUGGCUCAUUUCCCCCUGUGGUGGGAAGGAAAUCUUUUCAAAUCAUGUCUUCUGAUCAGACUAAACAGAGCAGGUGUCAAUAGCUCUGCCAGGUUCUCUGAGCAGUCCUAUGGAAAGUACUGAUUGCUGGGGCUUUCUGAGUCUUCAUCAGAUGGCUCUGCACACCCCCAGCUGCCAUCUUGUCACCCCCCCCCGCCUUUCUUCCCCCAUCCCCAGCAUGUCCUGUAAUAAAAUUGGAGAGCCUGAGGUA